rnacentral:rRNA from 1 species
AGAGUUUGAUCCUGGCUCAGGAUGAACGCUGGCGGCGUGCUUAACACAUGCAAGUCGAACGAUUAACCCGCCCUCGGGCGGUUAUAGAGUGGCGAACGGGUGAGUAACACGUGACCAACCUGCCCCUUGCUCCGGGAUAACCCAGGGAAACCUCGGCUAAUACCGGAUACUCCGCGCGUGCCGCAUGGCCCGCGCGGGAAAGCCCAGACGGCAAGGGAUGGGGUCGCGGCCCAUUAGGUAGACGGCGGGGUAACGGCCCACCGUGCCCGCGAUGGGUAGCCGGGUUGAGAGACCGAUCGGCCACAUUGGGACUGAGAUACGGCCCAGACUCCUACGGGAGGCAGCAGUGGGGAAUUUUGCGCAAUGGGGGAAACCCUGACGCAGCAACGCCGCGUGCGGGACGAAGGCCUUCGGGUUGUAAACCGCUUUCAGCAGGGAAUAUCGUGAAGGUACCUGCAGAAGAAGCUCCGGCUAACUACGUGCCAGCAGCCGCGGUAAUACGUAGGGAGCGAGCGUUAUCCGGAUUCAUUGGGCGUAAAGCGCGCGUAGGCGGCCCGUCAAGCGGGGUUUCAAAUCCAGGGGCUCAACCUCUGGCCGGACCCCGAACUGGCGGGCUCGAGUGCGGUAGAGGAAGGUGGAAUUCCCAGUGUAGCGGUGAAAUGCGCAGAUAUUGGGAAGAACACCGAUGGCGAAGGCAGCCUUCUGGGCCGCCACUGACGCUGAGGCGCGAAAGCUAGGGGAGCGAACAGGAUUAGAUACCCUGGUAGUCCUAGCCGUAAACGAUGGGCACUAGGUGUGGGGGAGCAUCUCCUCCGUGCCGCAGCCAACGCAUUAAGUGCCCCGCCUGGGGAGUACGGCCGCAAGGCUAAAACUCAAAGGAAUUGACGGGGGCCCGCACAAGCAGCGGAGCAUGUGGCUUAAUUCGAAGCAACGCGAAGAACCUUACCAGGGCUUGACAUGCAGGUGAAGCGGCGGAAACGCCGUGGCCGAGAGGAGCCUGCGCAGGUGGUGCAUGGCUGUCGUCAGCUCGUGUCGUGA